rnacentral:hammerhead_ribozyme from 1 species
ACCUAACUGACGAGUCCCAAAUAGGACGACACGCGCGUCAACCUGGAU